AUCUAUCGUUCAUAUGCAUAGAUGCACAACAGAUUGAAAGAAGUUAACGAAUAGCUGUCGAGUGGGGAGUGCUGACAGCGGUAUGGUCUGGGGCAGAUCAGGUUCUUCGUAAGAGUAGCAGUACUGCCCCUUCUCAAGCCUUUUUAGGUAAUUAAAUUCUGUCUUCGUAAAUUUCAGUGUCAGUUGGCUGUGGCAUUCUUGCUGCUUGUCCUGAGCAGCUUAGCGUCAGUUCGUGCAGCUUCACACUGACACUUGCUGAUGUCCGUUCUUACUGACCCUUACAGUAUAGAAAAUGCUUUGGGAUAUUCAGAAAUGAAAGACAAUAAGAGCUAAUGCGUGUGUACAUUUGUCUGCAGACAAUGCUGUCUGUAUGUAUACAGUCAUGGAUCACUGCAGCAGCACAAGUCAAUUAGCGUCUGUGAGACUCCAUCAUCCUUGGAAAUAAUUCUAUGAAUGCUCUAGGGAAUGCUAUCAAAAGGACAGUGCUGAGAACUACAGGCCUCAGAGGUGGUUUUCACUGAAGAAUGUGUAUGUGACGUUGCAUGUUACCAAGAGGUGAAAUUAACGUAGAAACGAAAUAUUAACCAAAGAAGACCAAAGGGAAGGGAGGACAACAGAGGAAGAAAGAAGAAAAAAAAAAUAAAAUAAUGGAGGAAAAAAGCCAAAGGUAAAAUAGUUUUGUUACUAUUUGAUGUGUCUUAAAACUUGUUGGGGGGGGGAGGGAAGUGGGCUUAAACUAAACUUAUGCUAAAUCCAAAAAAAUGAAAGAGUAUUUUUUUUGCUAACUAGACACUGACUAAUAGAAAAGUUAAGGCUUUUCUUGUAGGUAGCUACAUAGUGGCCACAAGGCACUGGCCAGCCCCAUGCCUGUGGUGACCAAUUUCCCCCAGCAACUAUCAGACAUCAGGUGUUAGGCUGGUUCUGAACUGGGGAGCCUGAUUAGUGAAUUAAUUCACCUAGUGGCUGUUUAUACCACACUCCUCCCAGCCUGUGGCUGAAGACUUUCAGGCUGCCUCUGAGGGCCAGGCUCCAUGCUGUGGUACCUGCUGUGGGCUGCCACAGCUGAGCCUCCCCCCUGACCAGGUCUCUCUGCAGGCCACCUGCUCCUCUCCUCCUACUGCAGGCUCAGGCAGUUCCAGCUCCAGUGGGAAAGAGUUCAGCUGACAGCAACAAAAAAUACCUAGAGGUUUCAAAACAAG
rnacentral:lncRNA from 1 species